GAUGAACGCUGGCGGCGUGCCUAAUACAUGCAAGUCGAGCGAACGGACGAGAAGCUUGCUUCUCUGAUGUUAGCGGCGGACGGGUGAGUAACACGUGGAUAACCUACCUAUAAGACUGGGAUAACUUCGGGAAACCGUAGCUAAUACCGGAUAAUAUUUUGAACCGCAUGGUUCAAAAGUGAAUGACGGUCUUGCUGUCACUUAUAGAUGGAUCCGCGCUGCAUUAGCUAGUUGGUAAGGUAACGGCUUACCAAGGCAACGAUGCAUAGCCGACCUGAGAGGGUGAUCGGCCGCACUGGAGCGGAGACAGGGUCCAGACUCCUACGGGAGGCAGCAGUAGGGAAUCUUCCGCAAUGGGCGGAAGCCUGACGGAGCAACGCCGCGUGAGUGAUGAAGGUCCUCGGAGCGGAAAACUCUGUUAUUAGGGGAGAACAUAUGUGUAAGUAACUGUGCAGAGCUUGACGGUACCUAAUCAGAAAGCCACGGCUAACUACGUG
rnacentral:rRNA from 1 species